CAAGAAAAAAAUUUUUAUUAUUAGCAGGACUAUAUUACUAUAUUUAUGUAUAUGAGAGUCUAGUGCACGACUUUUUCCUAGUAACAUUUCAUAAAUCUAGUGCACGACUUUGACGGACAAGAAACUAUGAGAGUCUCGAUUGGUACUAUCAUUUAUGGCACUUCCCAUAAUAGUACCACUAUGUUAGGAUAUUAAUGCCUGGAAGAAAUGAGUCAUCACCCGAGUAAUAACUAUGAUAAAUUCAUAAGAAGGGAUGUGAAUUAACAAUUUAUCCUCCAUUAUCCUUCUUUUACCAUGAACCCAAUAAUUUAGGUUUAGGAUAGUGGGUACAAAAGAAGAAAUGUGUUAAACACCCUUUUCGCUUGGACUUACCUUAAAAUAAGGGUCAGCCUCUACUAAUAAUUCCUCAAGUCUAUCUCUGAUGCAAAUUUCUCAAGUCUAUCUUAUUGUUUCAUUUAUUAAAUUCCUUAACACACAUUUAUGCAAGCUAAAUUUACAAGCGAAUAUUGUUCAUGUAGCGCAUAAAAAAGUAAGCACACACACAUUUCCUAAUCAUGCCAAGUUUCUAAACUUAUGUGAUGUUUGCUUAUGUGAUGUUGGAUUUGGAUCUUUGUUAGACGCUCAAUGCUUGUUUCAUGUUUGAAGACAGAUUCUCAAGCAUAUUAGUGUGCUGACCAGCAAAAGUUUGUAGUUUAUUCUUGAGCGUGUUAACAAGGCCUACUCCAACCUCUUCAUUAAGAACAGUUUUGAGAUUGACCAUGUUGAGGUUAUUUUUUGUCGUUGCUCAUGUUGGGAGUUUACAUAAAGAAACAGAGAGUGAGAGGACGGGUUAUCUAUAGAGAGAGCCCAUUCCUCUCCUUUGAUAGAGGAGAUUAUCUAACAAUCUUCCUUUGACAGACGAGAUUAUUUAACUGUCCAAGAAUAUAUAUUUUCUUUCUUUUCGUAAAAUUAAUGAAUCUUUCCGACCCUAAGUUAGAGUUCGAGUUAUAGUUCGAGUUAUAAUAAGUAAAUACCAAACAUUGCCAACAAUAGUGCAUUUACAUCUAAAUGUUUUGUGUAACUUACUUAUAAUUUGACUCUGUUUAAAUUUCUUUUUCAUUGCUUAAAAGAAAAUUUAUAAAAUAUAGGCUAUUAAUUUUUCAAUAUAGUUUGGCCAAUAAGAAAAUAAAAU
rnacentral:misc_RNA from 1 species